GGUUGUAUAGUGUAGCGGUUAGCACGCGGCAUUUUGAUUGCUGAAUCCCAGGUUCGAGCCCUGGUACGACCU